ACUCACUUUUGUCCAGUAAUUGACUUCCCAGGAAAUGUUGGCAGUGCCAGAAGCUGCAAUUGGACUAUUUUACUGCUCUCCUUCGACAAAGCUUUAAUCUAGCUGUAAGCCUCAAAGAAAGACUCUACAGAUGCAAAUGUAAGGACCAGAGAAUUAGCCAUGAGAUGGUAGAGGCUGUCCUCCAACCAGUAUGGUCUGAUAUCUACAAAGAAUUCAAAAACUAAGGUCGAGAAAACACUUUAAAGGAAACAUGUAAAUUGUAAUGAAGAUAAAGAAGAAAUAGAAAGCCUCAGGUACAAUGGCAGUGAUUGUUAAUAAAUAACCAUUAACAAAGGUUUCCAGAAAUUAAUCAGCCCAGAUGGGCAUGGCAACCACUUGUGAAGGAAGCCUUCAUAGAAAUGCUUCGCUGCAAGA